rnacentral:rRNA from 1 species
GAUGAACGCUGGCGGCGUGCCUAAUACAUGCAAGUCGAGCGAACAGACGAGGAGCUUGCUCCUCUGACGUUAGCGGCGGACGGGUGAGUAACACGUGGAUAACCUACCUAUAAGACUGGGAUAACUUCGGGAAACCGGAGCUAAUACCGGAUAAUAUAUUGAACCGCAUGGUUCAAUAGUGAAAGACGGCUUUGCUGUCACUUAUAGAUGGAUCCGCGCCGCAUUAGCUAGUUGGUAAGGUAACGGCUUACCAAGGCAACGAUGCGUAGCCGACCUGAGAGGGUGAUCGGCCACACUGGAACUGAGACACGGUCCAGACUCCUACGGGAGGCAGCAGUAGGGAAUCUUCCGCAAUGGGCGAAAGCUUGACGGAGCAACGCCGCGUGAGUGACGAAGGUCUUCGGAUCGUAAAACUCUGUUAUUAGGGAAGAACAAAUGUGUAAGUAACUAUGCACGUCUUGACGGUACCUAAUCAGAAAGCCACGGCUAACUACGUG